UACACACCGCCCGUCACACCAUGGGAGUUUGUUGCACCAGAAGCAGGUAGCUUAACCUUCGGGAGGGCGCUUGCCACGGUGUGGCCGAUGACUGGGGUGAAGUCGUAACAAGGUAGCCGUAUCGGAAGGUGCGGCUGGAUCACCUCCUUU
rnacentral:rRNA from 1 species